AAUUUAGAAGCUUUAUAGCGCUACUCUGAAGAAGUAGAGAAGGUUGUUCCCUAAAUUA
rnacentral:tRNA from 1 species